AUUGAACGCUGGCGGCAGGCCUAACACAUGCAAGUCGAACGAGUGGCGGACGGGUGAGUAAUGUCUGGGAAACUGCCUGAUGGAGGGGGAUAACUACUGGAAACGGUAGCUAUUACCGCUUACCAUCGGAGGUGCCCCGGUGGGAUUAGCUAGUAGGUGGGGUAAAGGCUCACCUAGGCGACGAUCCCUAGCUGGUCUGAGAGGAUGACCAGCCAAACUGGAACUGUGACACGGUCCGGACGCCUAGGGUAGGAAGCAGUGGGGAAGAUGGCACAAUGGGAGCAAGCCUGAUGGAGCCAUGCCGCGUGUAUGAAGAAGGCCUGAGGGUUGUAAAGUACUUUAAGUCGGGAGGCGUUACCGACAGAAGAAGCACCGGCUAACUCCGUGCCAGCCGCCGCGGUAAUUC
rnacentral:rRNA from 1 species